UAACAAGGUCUCCGUUGGUGAACCAGCGGAGGGAUCAUUACUGAGUUAUCCAACUCCCAAACCCCUGUGAACAUACCUAUGUUGCUUCGGCGGAUCGUCCCGCGGCGCGCCCUCGUGGCGUGACCCGGAUCCAGGCGCCCGCCGGGGAACCAAACUCUUGUUUUCUAGUGUCUCCUCUGAGUGGCAUAAGCAAAAAUAAACAAAACUUUCAGCAACGGAUCUCUUGGUUCUGGCAUCGAUGAAGAACGCAGCGAAAUGCGAUAAGUAAUGUGAAUUGCAGAAUUCAGUGAAUCAUCGAAUCUUUGAACGCACAUUGCGCCCGCCAGUAUUCUGGCGGGCAUGCCUGUCUGAGCGUCAUUUCAACCCUCAGCCCCCGUUCGCGGGGCGCUGGCGUUGGGGCCCGGCCGUCCUCGCGGCGGCCGUCCCCGAAACACAGUGGCGGUCUCCCACAGACUCCCCUGCGUAGUAACACUACCUCGCAGAAGGGACGAGCGGGCUGGCCACGCCGUAAAACACCCCACUUCUUAAGGUUGACCUCAGAUCAGGUAGGAAUACCCGCUGAACUUAAGCAUAUCAAUAAGCGGAGGAA
rnacentral:rRNA from 1 species